rnacentral:lncRNA from 1 species
UAUCAUUUACCUUAAUCGAACAAAUCCAUUUCAAUUUUAGCAUUUGCACAAAAAGGUCUUUACCAUCUAUUUUCUCCAUUAAAAUAUUAUAGAAUGAAAUUUUUGCCAUCGCCUUAAAAUAAACAAAUAAAAAAAGAAAGCAUAUUGCUGCGCCUCCUCCAGUAGGGCUUUAGUCAAGGCCACGUGGUAGGAAACAUCGCAAGUAAAUAUAGGCUCGCUCUCCGCCUCUUCUCGUCAACAUGGCGAUUUUGGCCGAACUCAUUGAUAAGUCGAACUCCCAUGAGUAGGUCAAACCCAGCUGAGGUAACUGAAUCCUUAAGUUGAGGCAAAUGAGUAGAAUGCAUAGCAUAAAAGUGUCUUUAUGCUAGAUCUUAUACCAAGUAGGUGAUAUGACAACUCAUUGAAUAAGCAGCACUACUCAAUCAACAAGUCUGGUCUUACAUGGCAAGCACAAGGUUGUAAACUGCCACAACAUUAAAUGCAAUACUACAUAGGAUUGACUGAUUGGUACCUAUGACAAGAAGACUCGAUCAUAAGGAUGAAGCCACGUGUGUAUUCAUCCAAUGGCUCUUGUUCAUCACUUCCUACUAUAAAAAACUCACAUUUAGUAAUAUUCAAGAAUAAUGCAACUUUAGACUUAUAUUAUAGCUUCGCUCUCUCAACUUACUUCAUUUUAGCCUCCCAACACCGAACCCCUUUUUAUACAGUGAAUCAUAUCUUUAGCACAUCCCGUACCUAAAUACAUAUCUCAUCUCAGACUGACUUAGGCAUCGAAGUUCCUGAAAUUGCCUUCCCCACCAUCGAAGGUUGGCCAUGUGCUAUAACGGUCUGUUUAAGUGUACAGAAUCAAAGCUUACAUGAAUGCUGAAGGAGUUAGGAUACAUUGGCUAUGUCACUCUUACAGAAAAUUGAGGUCAACGUAUAUAAAGAAAAAAAUUGUAGCUAGAUUUUAAAUUUUUUUAAGUAGUAUAAACGGGUGUAUCACGUAAAUCAUUUUAAAACACAUUUAAAAAAUAUCUUCACAAUUAAUCCCACC